rnacentral:tmRNA from 1 species
ACCCUUGCUCAACUUGUUGUUAUUCUCCCUGAGCGAUGGCGUCCAAAAAGCCUGAUAAAACCUAUGAAGAAAUGGUCAAGGAAGUAGAAAGGCUUAAACUGGAGAAUAAAACACUUAAACAAAAGGUUAAGUCUUCAGGCGCUGUCUCAUCAGAUGAUAGCAUCUUGACAGCUGCCAAGAGAGAAAGUAUCAUUGUCUCUUCAUCCAGAGCACUAGGAGCAGUGGCUAUGAGAAAAAUCGAGGCUAAAGUCAGAUCCCGGGCGGCCAAAGCUGUUACAGAGCAGGAACUAACCUCUCUUCUCCAAUCGCUGACCCUGAGAGUUGACGUGUCUAUGGAGGAAACUACUGUGGGUGCCAGCGGAGGGAUUGGCCCAUCCUCUCAAACAGAGACCAAGAAAAGAAGACCCAGGUGUGAUUAUCUGGAAUUAGUUGUGGUUGAACGGCGCCUGUGUACUCAAAGGAUCCGCCCAUAGCUGAGUUGGGAGUAGAGACUCCAAUCAACUGGCUCAAGUAGACCUGCUUCGAUCCGUGCCAGUCCUAUAAGAACAGAAAACAUGGGGGAUGAAUUUUAUUAUCCUUCUCUGGAAAGCGUGGUCCACACCUUUUGUGUCAUAGAUACUAGGGAACAUAAUAGACCUCACCAGCUUUUACAGUGGAUGAAAUGUUUGCAACAGUGGCUGCUAGAUUGAAGGAUCUGAUAGAAUAUUCAUGUGACUGUGAGAACUGUGAAUUGUUGGCUGAAUCCCUGACAAAUUAUAAGUUUUCCCUGGUACCUAUAAAGAUCAGGCCACACACCGAUACCUGUGUCUCACUGAAAACACUCCAGCGGCUACGGACUGCCAUGUUAGGCAAUCCUGAAACCCUGAGUAUUUGGACCCUUGAUGACCUGGUGGAGGACCCAGUAGUCUUCAAAGGCUAUGAAAGCGCAAUUAGGAGAGAAUUUGCUGAGCAUGUCACAUGUUUGAACAUGUGCUGGGUUGUGAAGAUAAUCUUGGACUGCAUGUCUCAGCCAACAGCUCUGCUUCGGGAUUGUAUUCAGAAGGGUGCAAAGAAUAAUGGACUCCAGCUGGACACUUCGAGUACCUGGACGUGGCCAGCAGCACGUAUUGCUGAAAAGGAAGUCAUAGAACAUACCAUGAGUGUUUGUGUACAGGAUAUGACUAGAAGUCAUGAUCAGGAAUUCUACACAGAGGCCUUUAAGGAAGAUCUCCAUAUAGGAUUAAAGAGACUAGUUGCCAUGGUCCUUGGGCAGAAUCAUAGUUGGUUAGAUGGCUUUCUGACAGACACUAUAGUGACAGGUAAAGCAUAGCCUGGGGCAUAGUUCUUUGAUGAAUCAUCAUAAAUAUGAUGGCUAAUGUGGUCCUUUUGUGUAUUAAUGCAGAUAUGUUUAUGUAUCCAGGUGUGUUGCUUGAAAGGUAUUUUGCUGUACUAACCCAACACCACCUAUUUAUCAUGUUUGGAAGCCUAUUAAAAACUGUGCUAUUGAC